rnacentral:rRNA from 1 species
UCCUACCGAGCUGGGUGAUAGCUGGUUGCCUGCAAAACGAAUUUAAGUUCUCCCUUAACCUCCAUUUCCCCCAGACCUAGCCCAACUUAAACGUAAUAGGUUAAGAGCUAUUUAAAGGGGGUACAGCCCCUUUAAAAAAGGACACAACCUCCUCUAGCGGAUAACCCCACAACACACUCAACCCCGUAGGCCUCAAAGCAGCCACCCCCAAAGAUUGCGUCAAAGCUCCCCCAACUAAAAACCCCUAAAACUAACGCGACUCCCUACACCCACAGCAAGCUAACCUAUAACAAUAGAUGAAUCAAUGCUAGAACGAGUAACUAGGACACCAUGUCCCCCUAAGCGCCAGCCUAUACACCAUUAACAGUACAACCUCAAUAACAGCACCCCUCCUCCAGCCAAACAUUGAACAUACCCUGUUAAUCCAACCCAGGAGCGCACAAUGGAGCGAUCAAAAUCUGCAAAAGGAACUCGGCAAACCCAAGACCCGACUGUUUACCAAAAACAUAGCCUCCAGCCAAACAAGUAUUGGAGGUGACGCCUGCCCAGUGACAUCACGUUCAACGGCCGCGGUAUCCUAACCGUGCAAAGGUAGCGCAAUCAAUUGUCCCAUAAAUCGAGACCUGUAUGAACGGCUAAACGAGGUCUUAACUGUCUCCUGCAGACAAUCAGUGAAACUGAUCCUUCUGUGCAAAAGCAGAAAUAAGCACAUAAGACGAGAAGACCCUGUGGAACUUCAAAAUCAAUAGCCACCCCACCCAACUCACAAACCCACCCGGGCCCACCCCCCAAAACACUGGCUAACAUUUUA